GCAAGUCGAGGGGUAACAGGGAAAAGCUUGCUUUUUUGCUGACGACCGGCGAACGGGUGCGUAACGCGUAUAGAAUCUGCCUUGUACAGGAGGAUAGCCUUUAGAAAUGAAGAUUAAUACUCCAUAAUGUUGAGAGAUGGCAUCAUCUUUUAAUUAAAGAUUUAUCGGUACAAGAUGACUAUGCGUCCUAUUAGCUAGAUGGUAAGGUAACGGCUUACCAUGGCAACGAUAGGUAGGGGGUCUGAGAGGAUUAUCCCCCACACUGGUACUGAGACACGGACCAGACUCCUACGGGAGGCAGCAGUGAGGAAUAUUGGUCAAUGGAGGCAACUCUGAACCAGCCAUGCCGCGUGCAGGAAGACUGCCCUAUGGGUUGUAAACUGCUUUUAUACAGGAAGAAACUUAGUUAC
rnacentral:rRNA from 1 species